GACGAACGCUGGCGGCGUGCUUAACACAUGCAAGUCGAACGGAAAGGCCCUGCUUUUGCGGGGUGCUCGAGUGGCGAACGGGUGAGUAACACGUGAGUAACCUGCCCUUGACUUUGGGAUAACUUCAGGAAACUGGGGCUAAUACCGGAUAGGAUCUCCUGCUGCAUGGUGGGGGUUGGAAAGUUUCGGCGGUUGGGGAUGGACUCGCGGCUUAUCAGCUUGUUGGUGGGGUAGGGGCUUACCAAGGCUUUGACGGGUAGCCGGCCUGAGAGGGUGACCGGCCACAUUGGGCCUGAGAUACGGCCCAGACUCCUACGGGCGGCAGCAGUGGGGAAUAUUGCACAAUGGGCGGAAGCCUGAUGCAGCAGCGCCGCGUGCGGGAUGACGGCCUUCGGGUUGUAAACCGCUUUCGCCUGUGACGAAGCGUGAGUGACGGUAAUGGGUAAAGAAGCACCGGCUAACUACGUG
rnacentral:rRNA from 1 species